GCUUGUCUGCUUUAUAUUUAGAGUCACGAAUGACAGUCGACUGAAUAGGUAAAGCUAUCAUCGGGAGAAAAUCACCGCCAUGUAUCAUUGAGAAUUAGAUGUUGUCUUAUUCACGCCUGCUUGAAGGAGAGAUUACGUUAUAUUCUUUCCUUUCGCAACGAAUGUACUUUGUCAAGGAGACAGUUCACGAGACUACUGAAGUAACUGAAUAAUCCUUUCCGAAUAUAACUUGAUGAAAUAGAAAUUUCUCCCAAGCAACUUACAAAAAGGUGUACGGAAGCGGGUAAAAAGAACAUAGAACUGAAAGGAUAAAAGCAAUUGAAUGGCAUUUUGAAGAGUCAAAACACUUGAGGGAAGACAGCCAGUUAAUCGUUUUACGCGUAUACUGCAGUGUACGACCUUAUCAAAGUUCAAAAUUCCACGGCAAGUUGGGAGCAAAUUUUUCCAAUGUAAUAACUCCCAAAUCAACCUGCCAAUAAAGUUAAUAUAUCAGCAACCAAGACAACAGGUGCUAUUGUUCCACCAAUUGACGGAAGAUCUCAUCGAUGCUACGAAUUUUUAUUCAAAGUUACGUGAUUGUAAUGCUCUAUAUUGAAACACUGGAGUUAAGCCGACUGCGUAUUUCAGGAAGAAAAUUGACGCGCAUCGGGUUUGAUUCAAAGACGAAUCUUCUUACACUUCUUGCUGAAAGAAACAGUACAAGAAAAUCUCCAUUACAUGGCGUCCCUUGACGACGCUGAAGAAGCCUUAAAAUCAACAAAUGCCAAAGCAAAUUAUCAUCGGCUGACACGACUAUCGAUGUGUGGCGGUGUAAAGCUUUUACGGGAGACGUUUGAUUCCACUUACUCACCAGCCUAUCUGCCUUUGAAGCUAAGUGAUCCUGUUGUACAGACAGAGCUGCGAAGAGCGAAACUCUCCAAACCAGAGUGGGACUGUCCGUAUCCAUCCACGGGACUGUAUGGCAAGUCAAAGAAUUUUGACAUCACAUCAAUCUUCAAGUUAUUAAGGAAAAUUUGUAACCUGACCCCACCCCCUGACGGAUGGGACGGAUUACCGAAAUACAUAUCACAGCCUGGAAGCAGAUUUAGUACGAAUAAAAUAUUAUCGAAAUGAAGUCAUCGUCACUGUCCAACUAAGGAAAUAUCUCCCACUGAGUUUGUUCGCCUUUGGAAUAGUAUAAGUGAGGUUUUGUUGCGAAUCGCAGCAAACAUCAGUGCUGUGAAGAGAGAUGAGUGGAAGAAGUCCAUCGAUGAUCUCCUUCACAAUCCUCUAACGCCAGAAGAAAAACAAAAAAACCAAGAACUUAACAUGUGGUACCAAAAUGACAGGGAUCUAAAAGCUGAAGUAGAAAAACUCACAGAGAUGGUGAAAACUUUUCAAUAUCAAAAGGGGCUGUAAAAGGAUUAACAAUGAGACUAAUAAUGAAGUAUGAGUUUGAAUCUUGAACGUGUUUUUCAGGUGAUUGUUUCAUAGUUCAAGUUAUUUUUUUUUCGUUUUCUUUUUUUGUGGAUACAGCUUUUUAGGGCGUUAAGAAUUAAGAAUUUUCUCUAACUCGGCUAGCGUUGAAGCUCAGGUGUCAGUUGUCUUCUUGAGUAAAAGAUCUAUUAUUAUUGUAUUAAUUUUUAUCAUCAGAAAUACUGAUUACGCUUCAGACUGGACAUAAAAAUGAGCAGACACAAUAACGCCACAAGUUUUGGAAAAGCUUGGUCUCACUGAGGUGGACCUGAGAACCUUUAUUUCCGAGGAAGAGUAUGAAAAAGGAAAAUAGACCUUUGAGGCAAACUUAGGAGAGCAUCACAAGUAUACCUAUAUUCAAGUCUUUCACUAUUUGCGGCUUUUCCUGUCUUAGUGAACAUAACCAGGGAAAGUAGUGCUGAAAAAAUAUCAUAGCUUCUAUCCUAAUUAUAUGUUAUGAAAUCGAGCUAGUUGCUGGUCUUGAAGGUCUUUGAUCAGAUAUGAGUGUAUCAAAACCACAAGUGACUGUAAGGUUGGAGAAAUUGUCUAUUUUGAUUCGAUUUUUGUUUUAUUCGAAGAAUUGAAAACGAGUGAAAGUAAAAGCGUAAGUCAAGCCUUGUUGGAGCAAUACAUGGUACC